rnacentral:rRNA from 1 species
GUUGCGAACGGGUGAGUAACGCGUAGGUAACCUGCCUGGUAGCGGGGGAUAACUAUUGGAAACGAUAGCUAAUACCGCAUAAAAUUGAUUAUUGCAUGAUAGUCAAUUAAAAGGUGCAAUUGCAUCACUACCAGAUGGACCUGCGUUGUAUUAGCUAGUUGGUGAGGUAACGGCUCACCAAGGCAACGAUACAUAGCCGACCUGAGAGGGUGAUCGGCCACACUGGGACUGAGACACGGCCCAGACUCCUACGGGAGGCAGCAGUAGGGAAUCUUCGGCAAUGGACGGAAGUCUGACCGAGCAACGCCGCGUGAGUGAAGAAGGUUUUCGGAUCGUAAAGCUCUGUUGUAAGAGAAGAACGAGUGUGAGAGUGGAAAGUUCACACUGUGACGGUAUCUUACCAGAAAGGGACGGCUAACUACGUGCCAGCAGCCGCGGUAAUACGUAGGUCCCGAGCGUUGUCCGGAUUUAUUGGGCGUAAAGCGAGCGCAGGCGGUUAGAUAAGUCUGAAGUUAAAGGCUGUGGCUUAACCAUAGUACGCUUUGGAAAC